rnacentral:rRNA from 1 species
CAAGAUCGAACGCGAAAUUUCCCUUCGGGGAGAAAGUAGAGUGGCGCACGGGUGAGUAACACGUAGGUAAUUUGCCUUCGGGUGGGGAAUAACUCAGGGAAACUUGAGCUAAUACCGCAUAAUGCAGCGGCUCGACAUCGAGACAGUUGUUAAAGCGGGGGAUCGCAAGACCUCGCGCCUGAAGAGAAGCCUGCGGCAGAUUAGCUAGUUGGUAGGGUAAUGGUCUACCAAGGCGACGAUCUGUAACCGGCCUGAGAGGGCGGUCGGUCACACUGACACUGACAUACGGGUCAGACUCCUACGGGAGGCAGCAGUCGGGAAUUUUGGGCAAUGGGCGAAAGCCUGACCCAGCAACGCCGCGUGAAGGAUGAAAUCCCUCGGGAUGUAAACUUCGCAAGAAUGGGAAGAAUAAGUGGGGGACAAUACCCCCCAUGAUGACGGUACCAUUUGUAAGCUCCGGCUAACUCCGUGCCAGCAGCCGCGGUAAUACGGGGGGAGCAAGCGUUGUUCGGAUUUACUGGGCGUAAAGGGCGCGUAGGCGGUCGUGACAAGUCACUUGUGAAAUCUCCGGGCUUAACUCGGAACGGUCAAGUGAUACUGUCGGACUAGAGUACAGAAGGGGCAACUGGAAUUCUCGGUGUAGCGGUGAAAUGCGUAGAUAUCGAGAGGAACACCUGCGGCGAAGGCGGGUUGCUGGGCUGAUACUGACGCUGAGGCGCGAAAGCCAGGGGAGCGAACGGGAUUAGAUACCCCGGUAGUCCUGGCCUUAAACGAUGAAUGCUUGGUGUCUCGGGGUUAUAAAGUCCCGGGGUGCCCGUUCGCUAACGCUUUUACAUUCCGCCUGGGGGAGUACGGUCGCCAGAACUGAAACCUCAAAGGAAUUUGA